AUACCUGGCGGAUGCUUUACACCUGCAGUCGAACGGCAGCACGGACUUCGGUCUGGGUGGCGAGUGGCGAACGGGUGAGUAAUAUAUCGGAACGUGCCCAGUCGUGGGGGAUAACGUAGAUGAAAAUUACGCUAAUACCGCAUACGAUCUACGGAUGAGAGCGGGGGAUCGCAAGACCUCGCGCGAUUGGAGCGGCCGAUAUCAGAUUAGGUAGUUGGUGAGGUAAAGGCUCACCAAGCCAACGAUCUGUAGCUGGUCUGAGAGGACGACCAGCCACACUGGAACUGGGACACGGUCCAGACUCCUACGGGAGGCAGCAGUGGGGAAUUUUGGACAAUGGACGCAAGUCUGAACCAGCCAUUCCGCUGUGCAGGACGAAGGCCUUCGGGUUGUAAACUGCUUUUGUAGAGAACGAAAAGGCUUCCAUUAAUACUGGGGGCUCAUGACGGUACUGUAAGAAUAAGCACCGGCUAACUACGUGCCAGCAGCCGCGGUAAUACGUAGGGUGCAAGCGUUAAUCGGAAUUACUGGGCGUAAAGCGUGCGCACGCGGUGAUGUAAGACAGAGGUGAAAUCCCCGGGCUCAACCUGGGAACUGCCUUUGUGACUGCAUCGCUGGAGUACGGCAGAGGGGGAUGGAAUUCCGCGUGUAGCAGUGAAAUGCGUAGAUAUGCGGAGGAACACCGAUGGCGAAGGCAAUCCCCUGGGCCUGUACUGACGCUCAUGCACGAAAGCGUGGGGAGCAACACA
rnacentral:rRNA from 1 species